rnacentral:rRNA from 1 species
CCUACGGGGGGCAGCAGUGGGGAAUAUUGGACAAUGGGCGAAAGCCUGAUCCAGCCAUGCCGCGUGUGUGAAGAAGGCCUUCGGGUUGUAAAGCACUUUCAGUGGGGAAGAAAGCCUUGGGGCUAAUACCCUCGAGGAAGGACAUCACCCACAGAAGAAGCACCGGCUAACUCCGUGCCAGCAGCCGCGGUAAUACGGAGGGUGCGAGCGUUAAUCGGAAUUACUGGGCGUAAAGCGCGCGUAGGCGGUCUGAUAAGCCGGUUGUGAAAGCCCCGGGCUCAACCUGGGAACGGCAUCCGGAACUGUCAGGCUAGAAUGCAGGAGAGGAAGGUAGAGUUCCCGGUGUGGCGGUGAAAUGCGUAGAGAUCGGGAGGAAUACCAGUGGCGAAGGCGGCCUACUAGACUGACACUGACGCUGAGGUGCGAAAGCGUGGGUAGCAAACAGGAUUAGAUACCCUUGUAGUC